rnacentral:pre_miRNA from 1 species
UUAACUCAAAUUUGUAUGAAGCUGGAACGUUUGCCGCUAGGAGCGCUGUUCCAACUGCAUACAAAGAGUUA